GCCAACAUCGUUAAAUGGCAACCCACAACUUUUCUAGGCAAUCUACUUAUGACUAAAACUUAUUGUGGUUGAUUUUCCAUGGCGAUUCUCAUAUGUGUUCCACAAUUAUUAACAAUUCUGUGAUUUAUUUCAUCUCAAUCAGUGCAGCCGUUUUAGCAAAUAAUAACAUUCAGAAACUGCUGCAAAUUCGUAUUGAGUCUACCUGCCGACUUUGUGAACCAUGUCUAUCAGCUGCACUUAUUUCAUCAUCAGGCAAUCGAGUUACCUCUCCAAUGUAUUAGUCAUCACAUAGGUUUUCACGUUUUGCUGUGACAAUCAAACGUACGGCAGUAAAAUGUGUCACAUAUAGACCUUGAAGUCAGUAACUCACUCAAGUACGAGUUAUCCCCCACUCGCCUCGGCUGUGUGACUCAAAGGGAAGACCUGUGUACAUAACAGCCGCUUUAUCUUUACCUUUUAGUCCACAAAAGCUUUGUAUCAGUGUUUUAUGGAGCUACUGUGGUAUUUUCACUAUUGUCUAAAACCUACAUACAACCUACAUGGCUCUUCCUACCCAAUUUAGUUUAUUGAAGUUAAACUAUGUAGGAAGUAAAUAUCUUUAGCACUGUGAAUCUUUAUAGUGCAUGUUGACCAGCAAACAGUCUCAAUAACCAUCUUUCGAGUGGCAAAGAUGUGAACAAUAAUUUGAAUUCCAGCUUCUAACAGCCAAUAAAUAAUACAUAGCAGUAGCUCUUUAGGCCUUCAUUCUUAUAACAACCGGAGAUUUAAAGAUUCUUUAUUCGAUAUAGGGAUCUUAGCUGUAAAAUAUGGCCUGCCAUCAGUCUUUGAGCGCUGCUACCCUUACCCAAGUCACCAAACGUCCUAUUUUGAGCCCGAUAAAAAAACCUUUUUAAACAUUCCAGUUUGACAUUUCUCCACCCUUGAACAGUUCAAUAGUAUGUCAACAGAACACGUUCUGAUUACCGGUUGUGUGACGUCAAAUCGUUAUUUUUACUUGUUCGAUUAAUUGGGUAAACUGUAUCGGAUCUCGCAACAUCGAAAUUCCGUAACAAAAGUCACGUCUGGUAUAAUUUUUCAGCACAAUAAAGGAUCUUCAAUCAUAAUAAAUUUGUGGAUAUAGAUACCUUUUGCUUACUGAAAGUCUAAUUUUUAAAUGAGCCCAACUUUAUCCCCUUAAUGAAAAAAAAUAUGUAAAAGUAUUCAAAGUGUCGCCUUCACUUGCAAGAAGCCAUUUUAGUUCGAACUUUCCAUUAACCUAAGUCCUUUGUUAGUAUUAUUGGCGCCAACUUGUCUAUAUCCUGACCUACAUGUAUAGAAUGCCUGUCUUAGCCCAGUACUUGCUUCCAAAGGCUUAUUUCCACCGCCUACGUCAUCCUAUGGCGUGGGGUGCCAUAAUAAAUACCUAUAAAUACAUAUUACGCAAAAGCAAUCUGUCAUCUUAUUGGAUUCUAUUUAAAACGGUGUCUUUAAAUAAAUGUCGCAAUAUAAUUAUUUUUGUUCGCAAUUGUUCAAUCGGUUUAUUUGCAGAGUUGAAAUACGUCACGUCGGUAAGCAAUGUGUUAAUGGCGAUAAAAUUAGUAAAGUUAAACGAUAUAUAAUAUCUUAAUGAUCGUUUAAUGGGUUUUAAAAUGAUUAUUCAAUUAAAAUGGUCGUUAAAUCGUUUGCUUUCCCAUAAAUCGAGUGACAAAGUAAAAUAUGUUAUUUCUGAGCAUUCAAUACAAACAGUGCAGAGGUUACUGUAAGUAAUAAGUGAAAGGUGACAGUUUCGCGCUACCGUGACAAUUGACAAUCGUAAUCGUUUGUAUUGCGAAAUGAACUUCCUGGCUGCAGGGCAAUAUGACAGUUUAUGGAACGCUUUUGAAAUUAAACGACUUUCCCGCAAUUAUUUAAAAGAAAUGCGGGUGUCGCAACCACUUCGCAUAGGUCAGUCUUCAUUAACGAAACUUUUUUAUAUUCCUACCUACUUAGUAGAACUAAUAAUUCGUCUUGCCUAUUUUGAAACAGAUGCAUAUUUUUUUGAUUGUAUAAAUAGGCCCUGUAAAUGCUUUUGAUUGCAAUAUCAAGUUCCCAACACAGAAUUCACAUCAACGGAAAUAUCUGCUAUAAGAAUAAUAUGCUCCGGGUAUUUUCGUAACACUUGAAGCAAUCUGAGAGCAAUGGGUGACUCACUCUCCGCGUAGGUCCAAUAGUAAUAGUUGAAUGCAUAAUAAACAAACUGACAUACACACGUAUCAAUCAUAGGUCAGGUCACGUCUAGCCUAGUUUAUCGAAGUCAGAAAUUAUAACUACAUACUUGGGUACAAUAUUCAAUGCUGCAAAAUGAGCAAGUCACUGUGGCCGAUUUAUGGCGAAAUCUCUAAAGCGAUUGUAAUGGAAUUUGGUAUGGAGAUAGCAAGCCCUGACAUGGAGUAUGGGAUAUUUUUUUCGGAUAGCAAGGUUGUAGAAGUUCUUGCAGGAGUCAAAAGAUUCCCCCAAUAAAGAAGCAUCUGUUGAAGUUAUAAACAUCUAAGAUAUGGUGUAGGUGUUUCCUUAACACCCGCUAUUUGUAUAAAUUAUCGUGUUAUCUUUUAUUACUAAAUUAAACAAAUAUUUCCAAGCAAUUUAGUUAGCUGUCACGUUUUACUACCGCGCGGUGGAGACACGAAAAAUUACACGACACUUAGCUGCUUAGAAAAAUGUAUUACUGAAUCUGAUUACCUACUAACCCGCCUAUGAGUUAGUCACAGCGAACGGAGGACCAUAAACAGUCGAAGAACAAGAAAUAAAUUUUGAAAUGGUAGCCCUCCAUCAAUUGUUCCUUGGCAUUAAAAGGGACAGACUAUCGAAGGCCAACGUUACAUACGACUAUUGUAUCCUUAAAUAUUAUAUUCCAUAGUAACAGUUAAAUUACUAUAUCGAUCGUCAAUAUUCGUUUAGGCACUAAACGAUAUUACUUCGUAGCCGACAAGGGCAAAAAGGCGCCCAUACCUUUUGAUUUAGUAACUUAGAGGUAUAUUUUCUUGUCCAAAUCGUAAUUUAUAUGCCGAAAAAAUACUCCAAACGGGCAUAUGUAGACCUCUUUUAAAUAAAAUGUUAACUAAGAAAGUAAUGUCAGUUGCACUGUGAGAAAAUCUGAGAUGAAUUGAAUCCAUUUACUGAGAACUAUACAAUGUUUUCAAGACUGUAUCCAAUACACUCGCUCACUUGGCUAUGCCUAAAAAACUGUGCCAACCUUACUUAGCAGUGCCUAGUUUUUCCACGGUCAUUCAAGAUCGAAAUUGUAUGACUAAAGUUUUUCUUCUUUUGUAGAAUAAACAGACGCAUUGACCUGGUUUAGGAUGAUUUUUUAUUAUAUAUUCUUCGAUCGAAUUUUGUGUUUAUCAUUUUUAAUUAGGGCGAUCGUGUUUUAAAAAUGUAUCCGUCUCUUGAGUAUUUCUGUAUAACGCUGUUCUGUCCACAGUAUCAGCUAACAUUUUCUAGUGUAAACCGCUUAAGUAAAUAGUUUAUCUAAUUCUCAGCCUUGGGUUCCACGCACGGCGCUUUGUGAAUGGAUGCGAGUGGAUUCAGUCAAGUUAAUUAAUUCAGGGGCUCAUUGUUUGCUUUGGUAACAAGUCUUACAAGUUACCGUGACUUGAAACCAUUCAUUCAUUCAUAUUAAGUAAGUAUUCAAUGCCCUCCUUGUUAUUGGCGACGAAAUACUUCUAACAUUGUCGUAUUUUCAUGGCAUGUGACGUCAUCACUUUGACAGACAUACAAUGUAGUAACCUUGUCGUGUAUUUAAUGUUUUACUGCGUGUUAUCUAAGAGAAUAUUAAAUUGAUAAAAUACGUAAAUAUAUAACAGUGAUUUUUAUGAGACUAACAAAGUUAAUUAAAGAAGGUUGCAUGAUCUCGUUAGCCAGUUUAUAAAAAAAGAAUAAAUAAAAAACAAAAAUCUUCAAAAAGGACCGACUGACAUUUUAUUUGUCGAAAGGAUGUUGACAGGAGACUAGGAACUUGUAAUACUUUGUCAUUUUCAUGAGUUUCUAGUUCAUUUUCACAAAUCAAAUAGAAAACUCAAUAACAUUGGUACUACACUAGCUAUAAUCCUCGCCGUCAUAGGCACCACGUAUUUACUUGUGCACAAAAUUAAUCUGAAAAAAGUUUCGUCGAACGCCAUGUUUGGAUUUGAAAUUGAAUGACAGUUUAUGUCGAUAUCCAUAGAGAAUACAAACAUUCAUUCAUAAAUGAAAAUGGUGUAUGGAAUAUGAAAAACUCUUUUCACGGAAUCAACCUCUGUAACACUCGUUUUCGUCAGAUACGGCCGGAUAAUACGAACCUGACCUAGAUUAGGAUACUUUAUUAAGGAUUUGGGGGCCUUGAGCAAAUUACCAAUAAUGUCAGCGUGUGUUCUGGGUCGCCCCCUUGUGGGAUUUGCUUCGACAACAAACAUCUAACAUUAGGCUUAUAUCAUGAGCAUUUUACUUCUUCAUUUUAGAUAAAAGAAGUAACUCAUAAGCGGCAAAUGUCUUAUGUUCCACUUUUUUUUUCAAUACCCUCUUUUUAUGAAUGAACUUGCUAGGUACAUUUUUGUUUGAAUUGGGGACAAAACCAAAUCAACAGCUAAGCUCACAAUAUUGCAAAUAAUCUGGCAGUAAAACGGCAAGCCGUUGCCAUUUAGGGUUCCUUCAGUAAAUAACGCCGUUCGUAACACCACAGGUGUAAUGGCAAAUAUGCUAAUAUUCCUCUGAACAUUUCUAUUCAAAUUCAAUGUCAACACUGUUGUUCUGUCGUCCUUGUCUCACUGUUUUGUUUGUAUGAUUCUUUUCUUGAGUUUGUCGCCGAGAUAUUUUGUUUCUCGCUCCAACUCAAGAGCUUUGCAAAGGUUGUUCUUCGAUCGGUUGAGUACCUAUGCUCAUCGUAUAAGACGCAACGGUCUUUUACAAAUUUCUUUUUGCUGUCAUCAAUAAUUACCUUAACGUAACAUCACCAACAGUACCUAGUUACUAGCUGUACCUCGCGGUAUCAUCCGCGACUCUUGGAUCUACCCGCAUUCGGAUAAAAAGUAUUCUAUAAGUGUUUUUCUGGGAUGUAUUACAUAGGUACUGUAAAGUUCCAUGAAAUCCUGUACUCUGGCUUUGGCGCUUUCUCGUUUAAAUUACACUAAAGUGUGAUGUGAUGAUAUUUGCUUUGUACUUCUCUAUUACACCGUGACAUAGACCGUGAUUACCACUUAGACUUUACACGUACCAGUUCGGUUAUGAAAUCUUUUGUUUCCAAAAGUCGUAAUUGGCCAUUUUUAUUGAACUUGGCAUUGAAUUGCUAGAUCACGGUCACCGGUUUGCAUCACAUCUUUGCUCUUGAAAAGCAUUAAACUUGUAUUUUUAGCAUAGACUUCCUCGUAAGAUUAGAGAUACUUCAAAAGCAAAUGGGUUUUAAUUAAAAUGUAAAUUAAAUACAAUGACCGUGAGAAUCCCCAUUCGUAGAAAUUAUUCUUAUUCCUUCAGUUUUAGCAAACCCAUUAGUAGAAUACAGAAUAAUAAUAAAAAAAACUCGUGUGAACAAGAUAAAAAAAACAUUGUAGUGCUAAAAGAUGGCGCCGACGACCAGUAUUCAUUAAAAUUUGUGAUUCACACGACGUCAUGGCCGACUCACGUAUUUUGAAUUAAAUUAUCCUUCCUGCUCAUAUUGCUGCAACGGACAUCGUUUAAAAAUUUACAUUUUUACUGCAAAAAUGCAGCUACAGAAGUAGAGCCUGCAAAACGUUAGUUGACUGUUAUGUUUUAACCGCCACUUACCAUAGACAUUCAUUAUCUGCCUAGCCUUUUCUCAUACCAUAGACGUGAUAAAAAUAAAAGCAAAACUACAUGAAAACAUUGCGAAUUGUUGAUAAAAAUCGUUAUUCAGUACAGAAGCUGCCAUUACAACAUAACAAUGGAAAAAUUGACAAAAAUAAUAACGUUUUAUGCUAUUGCUCACAUCCUGCAGAUUAUUUUGAUAGCGCCAAGUUAUACCUAUUGCAAAUACAAGUUAUUUAAGGGUUUACAAAGUACACAUACAUAUUAUGUAGGUACAUAUUAGAUAACUGUUUAACAAUUUCACUGCUUAUUUACCCUAAAUUCUAAAUAACUCGACCCAAUUUCUUUUCGUAAACAAACACGGAUUUGGAACAACUUAACAACGCUUUCAACCGACAAGUUUACAAACAUUGCAUUUCACUGAUGCAAGCAAGCUUACAAAAUUAUCUGUAGAUCAUUUAGUUUAGAGUAACCUUACUUGAUUAUCUAUACUUCUAUAAUUUGCAUAUUAAUGUAUGUCUUGAACAAAUUCAAAAGCUAAUGGACUGUUUUCAAAAAUUGUUACCUUCAGAACUAUCAUUGUCACAAAUACGGUACCUACAUUUUAUCCAGUAACGGGAACUAUUUUUCCCCAAAAAAAAAACAAGAUGCUUGUUAUAUUUCUAUUAUUAGAAGUUCAGCUGAGUCAAGCAUCAUUGAAGUAUUCUUUAUUUUCCAAGACGAACGUGGUUAUAAAAACCUUGCCGAUAGUUUCCUCGGCAAACUGGUUCAUAACCAAGUCUGUUGUCCUGAGAAUGGGGGCAAGUGGUGCCACCUGUCACAGCGACCGUGAAUUAUAGUUUCUACGCGGAACGCAACUUAAUCAUCAUUUUAGUACGACUUCGGAAUAAGUUGGCAAUGUCCGUGAUUGGUGAAUACGGUAGCAGUUUGUGACUACCUCUGCGAAAAAUUCAAUUUAAUGUUUUUACAAAAUGUUUGUCAAAUUCUGACUUUCUAACUAGUUUGAUCCGACACAUAAGGAAAAUACUUGAAGAGGUUUAUUUUCAUUCCUAAUUUCAUCUUAUCGAUUCAGCGUAUUAGAUUAUCGAGGUUCGAUUCAUAUAAUGAUUACUUAGUACUGUAGUAGGCACGACCCUGGCUAUAUCCAAUACUUAGUAGCCACUAUAAAAUUUAACAAACGGUCGUUAACAUGAUAACUCUUCGGCAAAAAAAGAGGGGAAAUGAAAAGCCAAAGCCUAUAAAAGUUGUUCAACAAAAUACCGUCGAGGCGCGUUCAAGAAUUUAUCACUUCGAGUCUGAGCUCGUAAAUAAUCAGACCAUGUGCGAAAACUGGGCGAAUUUUAAACUGUUUUUGUUUGGAAACUGCCGCAUCAUUAAAAAGUAACAUAUCGUUUUGUUUUGUGUCGUUCAUUUGCGGAAAUAUGUGUAAUUAGAAGUUUUAAAGGUCACGCUUUCCGAUGACAGUUUUUGUGAGAAAAUCCCUCUAAGAUUCCUAUUACGGAUCAUAAGAAAUUAUUGUGGGUAGUCGUGAAAUAAAAUUAGAGAUCUCUCCCGGUUUUAAAUAAUGAAUGAACAUAGGUACCUACCCUCAAUGAUCAAAACAAUAUACACGAGUAUCUUUGACUCUGAGAAGUGAAAAAUAUAUAGGUAGAUAUAUCGUAAUAACCUUGCUACCGUAGCAAAACGAAGCCAUGACAGAUUUUUCAAUAAGCACAAAGUAACGCUGAAUUCAGAACAUUUGCUCUCGUCUUAUUUCAGGUUUUAACGAUCCUUUGUUAGAUUAUCGCAAAUAACAUUAGAUUCGGUCCAACGUAGGUUAAACAUCGUUUACAUGAUUACUAAUUGGCAGAGUGUUAACUAUGUACAAAAAAAAAACUAGCAAUGCAAGUCUGUGUUCACUCAAGUGCGACUAAUAAACACAUUAACUAGUCUAUACUCCGUAAUUACACGACUUAUGUACUCAAAAGUAACUAAUACCUCAUUUUUUAUUGGCUAAAUAUUAGUAGACACUUUCCGUACAAAUUGUCUUUGAUAUUGUGUGUACUACAUUAUGUUUGAGCAUCUAGCUCAAGGGCAUGAUAUGACAUUAAUAUUUAGUUAUGCACUCAACCUAUAGCAUCUUCAAAAUUAAGUGUAGGUAUUAACUUUGACGUCAUAUCACACAAGGCUUAAGCUUUUUGUAACCUGUCUACCGCCAAUUUGCAUAACUUUGCGUCCAUUUCAUCAUAAGCAAAGGAAGAACGAAUUCACAAUCAGUUCAUUCUAUAUGCUAUUUGUCUACGGUCGCAUACAGUGCGACCAACUUAUACAACGCGACAUUGAUCGCUAACUUGCCAAGGACAUCAAUUAAAGUCCGAGAAUUUAAUUUACAAUCAAUUUACUUCACUCGGAACAUUUAUUACUAGGAUAUGACAUUAUUGCAAAGUUAAACACUUAUUUUACUAGGUUUGACUUUGAUUUUAAAAUUAAUACUCGUUGUUUUAUUAAACUGGAUGAUGUUAACCGAUUUAAAAGUGUUAGACGUUAAUGGCGUCUCGCGAAUAGGAAUCACAUUGUUAAAAUACAAUCGACAGCAUUUUUUUUAUCAAAACACAACUAGACUGAAUAAACAACAUUAUAGUUUAUUGCGCUGAUAAGUAAUUUCGUUAUUGUAAAAAAAACGAAACAUUGAGGUUGACAUAUUCGGAAUAUUCCCAAAAAUAAUCAUAUAAACAAUUGAAAAAUGAAAUCGUUAAUUUGACCGAGUUUUUUCAUCAGACAUACUGAGUGACAUCACAGGCCACUGGCUCAGACCAUCUGGUGACCUGUAUCAAGGUUAUAUGUUUAAAGCCGAAUUACUGACUUCGUUAAUUUUCAUUAAACGGAUUGCUAAGAUGGACCUGAGAAUUUGUAGGUAAUCUAUUUUAUCAUUUAUCUGCCAUAAAAAAAAUCUGAGAGAUAUUAACGUAUGACGUUCGCAUUUUAAACCCUCAUCAAGCAUUAACAUGUUUAAUUAUUUUUUUUUAUAAAAUUUUUGCCUUAUUGUGAAAUCUGCUAAACUGUUGACUUACUGUCUCAGACGAGAGCCAAUCCAUAGUUCUAUACUGUUCAGAUCUAAAAUUCUUCAAAAGCAUUCAAGGAAAGAGGAAAAAAUCAUAAAAGGUAACGUUUUCCUGAAAAAAUGUAUUUCUUAGAAUGUGUAUUUUUACUUUUUAAACCUUCAACUUUAACUAAUUACAAUUUUAUACUCACCAGCCUAACCCUUUUAACCCUUGAAUACCAACCUUCAAGGAUAGCGCAUCCAUGCUCCAAGCCACAAAAUAAAUACGUACAAGCCUUCAUCAAAAAGAAGACCAAAAUAAAUAAAACUGGUUGCUACGCAAAUCCGGAUUGUCUAGACGCGUUGUAGCAUAAAAAAUAUAAAAUGGCGGGCAAAUAAUGAUCCUUGCGAUGCGCAUAAAGUAGGUACCUAACUGCUAGAGUUGAACCUAUGACUAUCUGAUGAAAACAAAAUUAAAUGUUUUAUUUUGCGAAAAGUAAUUUUCAAAACUGAAGUCGAUCAAAGACUGGGUGAACAGUCUCUGACAGACUUCAAAUCGGCUUCUAUUCGAAUACUAUAGUUUUUUGGUUUCAAAGGUAAACUAAAUCACUGUAAUUUCGAAACAAACGCCGAUCGUUUUGAAUUUGUACAUCUAUUUGUCACAACAAACCAACGCUAAAGAAACCAGUCUGGAAUAGAUUUACGACUUAAUAUCAAUCAGGAUAAAGGGAUUUCAUUCAGUAAUUAAUGUUAGGGCCAAAGACUUGCGCUAUCUACAUAUCUUAAUAUUUUAAAAUACUGACGCUUUACUUGAAACAUUUUAUUUGCAACCAAUUUCAGUAUCAGUUUCAAUAAAAAAGUUGGACUGGUUGUCUUGACCUACCUCAAAACUGGCCCUGUAAUUAUUGUACGGGCCUAAAAAUGUCUCUCGCAUAACUUUAAACCUUUGUUGUAACACUUGUAAUUUUAUGCAAAUUACAACAGUGGGUUGUGAUCUUGAAUGUCAAUAAAAACAAGGCUCAAAAUAUGGCGUCUAGUAAAUCUUCUUCUUUUAUAAAAUAUGAGUGAUUGGAGAUUUUGUGUGAUCUAUAAAGCUUCGCUUUGUCAGUUAUUUUAAUCUAUUCUGUUUCAUGUUAUUUUUAUGGUUGUCUUGCCUGUUUAUUUUAGAACGUUGACCUCCUUUGAGAUUUCCUUUACGUGUUUUGGGAGAACAAAAAUAUUUUUGCUUCGUUUUAGUUUUUUCCUUGUGAAUAAUUGUGUUCUCAGUCCAAUUUAUAUGACGCUGAUGUUUUACUGUUUACACAUAAUUUAAAAUAUUUGUGGAAUUAGCUUUUAUACGACUGUGUGAAAAAUCUAUCCUAAUAUUGACUCACGAUUAUUGAAUAAGUACGCAUUUCUAUGGACUAUCGACUUCCAUGCAAAGUAAUGAAGCUUAGUGAUGCUUAACGUAAUUCUACUGCUAUUUAGUAAUCUAUGAACGGGUUAAGCUCAUGACAUUGACAGUAGAAACCUGUUUGUGAGAGAAUGUGUGGACCGUGAAUUAUUUGUGCGGCAGAACUAAAGCCAGUGACUCGAGUGAGGAUCAAUGAAACAUUUAUUGGUCUACUUAAUGUUCAACAAAGUGGCAACAAAUUAAACAUUAAUAACAAUAUUAACGACCGUGGAUGAAACUGCAUUUUUAUCGAUGUUAUACAAUAAAUUAUCUGCAUUUUGUAACAUUUUGCAUGUGACCUUUAUUUAUAAGCCUCGAUAAAGUGUCCAAAAAUGCUUGGUCGGUCCCUAAACGCAGGGUGAGCUUACAAAAGCUGUAAUAAUGAUAUGUAAAAUGUGUAUUAUUUUGUGUAAAUAAAACGUAUUGUAAGAUAACUUUGUUUCCUUUAGGUUAAGUGUUAAAAACAUUCACAUUUUAAUUGUGUUGAAAAAAAAAUACGAAUAAAGUUUGGGGUGUUUAACUAAUGGUGCGUACUUAUUUGUGAAUGUACUAAUUUAGGGUUAAUUAAUCGAUUGUGACAGCUGCCAACAUUGACAGUUGCUUAUGUCAAGUGGCUCAACGUUUGUAUCAUCACAAAUUAGUGAACACCACAUUUCAUCUGUGCUCUAAUGUAGUUAAGAUCCUAUUAUAGCUAAUUAGGUGCCUGAGCGUAAAUUAAUUUAUAUUGAACUGUAACAUAGUGAGAUAAACAAUGUAGAGUUAUUUUUAAUAUUAAAUGUAUAUAUUAUAGUGGUAGGGGUUUGGAUAGAGCGGUAGACUGCGUAGGCAACGAAGAUUGGAAAUGUUUCUAGAUUAAUCCUAACAAGCCCACUUGAUGCGCCAGCCGAGCUAAACUAUUGGCUCUGCGUACAUACCUAUGUGCUACAAGUACACUGUUACUGAAUAAAAGGACUGUAUCUUAACAAACCCAGCACUGUGGGAAAUUGGGAAUAAUAUUUCAACUAAUGUAACUGUCUGUUGGCCGCUUGAUCCAAAUCUCUAUUUUGAUCACUGAACGUAUUUUUGUUAUUUGAUAUAAAGCUGCACAUAUCUAUGAAACCGACCUUCAAUUGAAAGCUGCGCUGGCUUCUGAUAAUGUACAAUUGUCUUGUGUUCUAAGAUUAUUCAUUUUGUAAAGUGUGUGGUAAUCCUGAAUAUUUUAGAAAGAAAGAGGUAAAUCUUAAGACAGUCCACGAAGUCUUUUUUUACGUGACCUUCUCAACAAUUACGUUAUUAAUUAAGAGAGCAGUUCUUUGCCCGUCUUAUUCGGGAUUACCAUUCACAUUGAUACCACACACGACUUUUUGUAGCGAUGUCCAGAGAAAUUUUAUUAGACCUAUGAUUUAUUGAAUACAAAAAACGAAUUUCUAUUCCAAUGAUGAAAAGUGACUGACGAAUGAAGCAAAAAAUAACUCAUCAUAUCGCUUACGAUCAAUAUUUGCAAUUCAUAUAACCGCCCCUCACUCCCGCGACAAAUAUUAAAAAAGAUGGAAUAUGAUGACAAAAGCUGCUUUGCGAGAGUCCUUAACCUUAAUAAAAGAGGAAUAAAUAACAAAUGGCGUGUUCGAUAGGAUCUGAAGCGGCAAGCCACGCGAGUCAUGGCGGAAAGUAUUACUGGCAAGCUUGCAACGCUUUCCCGCCGACCGCGACCUUAGCAACUCGAUGUGACCAUACAUAACCAUGCAACCCUGAACUGUGCAAUCUGAUAUUCUCGUCGCUGCACAGAUACCUAGAUAGUUUACAUAAUAAGCCUUUUCUUUGUCAAUUUCUACCUUGAACUGAAAGUAUCGGCGACAUUUCUUCCUAAACCGUCCCUCGACGUUGCCUAAUGAGUCGUGCCCUAUCAUUUCAUGUCAUAACGACAAAUUAAUGGUAAUUUAAAACAACGGUACUUCCUUUGCAAGGCUACCAGUAGGUAAGCGUCGUCGUUUUGGGAGAGAUAAAUAUAUUUCUGCAAAUAAAACCGUAUUCCCAACUUAUCUGUUUGGACUCAUCUCAUGUUCUUAUCUAACGUUGGAUUAGCUCGCCUGAAAUUAAAUUUAUGAAGGUAUCUUUAAUAUUUCUCGAUAUCGCUGCAAGAAUAUCGUGAGCAAAAUUACUUUUUAACUAUUUUUAUAAAUCUUGAUAUUUUGUUUGUGAAUGUCGUUUUUUAUGUGUUUAAUAUUGUUUGCUAUUAUUUACUGUCUUUCAUUUUGUCUUAUGUGUAAGUAAACUUUUCAAAAAUGC